rnacentral:tRNA from 1 species
UUCCUGGUUGUCUAGUGGUUAAAGUCUCAGCACUGUCACUGCUGUGGCUCAGGUUCAAGCCCUGGCCUGAGAA